CUCAGAGCCACAUCCAGCUCUUUCUUCUGAAAGACUGCUUAAAUGCCCCCAAGCCUGUGACUGGUGACACUGAAGAACACAAGCUUACGUCUUAUGGAAGGGGCUGGGAAGAAGAUAGGGAUAUUUACUGUUGCAGUAAAUUCAAGGUGAAAGGGAUGAGGCUACAGAUACCAAAUGCUGUUCUCAUCAGAUGUCUCUAUCUAAUGUGAAGCUACAGUGCAGGAGAAUCAAACAUACCAUACAGGACCUGAUCCAGAAAUCCUUGGUUUCUUCUCUGUUUGUGUCUCCUUAUCCUUCUCAGUGAUAACUGGAAGUUCCUGGUGUCUUCUGGUGUCUAGUGAAACCGCAUGAAUGAUAAUAGAGAGAAAAGGCAUUCACUGAAGAGGUUCUGCAGGGAAAACUGUCCUGCUGGAAGAGUAUGGAACAAUGUAACUGUAACUGAAGUGAUAUUUAACUACUACCCUGGAAUCUAGUACUGCACAGUUUUUAUGUAAUCCUAUAGACACUUUAAUCAGAGACAAAUUUCACCUACCAUGUCCAGCACAUUCCUUCCUCUGACGGCUGAAAACUGCUGAUAACUGCCAGAUGGACCAAAAGAAGCAGUGAGCAGAAGCACCCUUUGAAUUUGAUGAGGACAUUGAUGUGAUCAGAACUCUCAUAAACAAGCCCAUCAGCAGGCAUUGCCUCUGCCAUCUAUCGCACAAUGGAGAAUAGACAAUCCUAGCAUGAAGUUCUUCAAAAGAUUACAUUUGUUUUCCUUCAUCCAACACGGAAUUAGAUUUACAGCAUUUACAGUAUUCAGGAUGAAGAUAUUCAGCAGGCAACAUUUUGGCCAAAACUGAGGAGAUAAGCAUUUUCUUCUUGAGAAAAUGCCAACAAGUACAUAAUUUUAUAACUUCAGCUCAUGUUUCCAAGUACUUCUGAGCAGAGCGCAUUUGUGAACAAAUAUCUGUUGAUUAUACCUUUUCUCACAAGAAUACAUCUCUCUCUUCCUUAUACCAGACCCCCUGCUUCAGUGAUGUUACAUAUCCUCUCUCUUCAGUGUUUCAUCCUCAUUUGAUUUUCACAUAUUUCUCUACAUUACUUUCUAUUUUAUUUCUGCACCUAAUCUGCCAAUGUUAAGACUAUAUUGCUAGGAAUGAAGCAUUCUUUCUUUGGUUACAACUUCGAAACUGUGAUCAAGUUGUAAGAAAAGCAGUGUCUAAGCACAGGGAGGAAAUCAAUACCUAUUAUGAGUUGUUUUUAAAGACCACUACUGACCAUGAUUUCAUCGUUUACUCAGGCAAUCUUUUCCAAUGAUUUGUAAUUCUACCAGUUCAUACCACUGUUUAGUCAGAAUCUUUCUUGCUGUGAUUUGGGCUGAUCAUUUCUUGCCCUAUUCACUGGAGAUAUUACCUCAGUCUUUGGAACUAAAUUUUACAUACUUGGAAGAUCAUUAGCUUACCUCCACGCUCAGCCUUGUCUUUCUUCGGUUAAAGAAUCCCAAAUAAAUCAUCUUACCAUCAUGUAUAUUUGUUUCUAGCUCUCUGAUAAAUUCUUGCUGAUUUGAACUUCCUCCAGUUAUCUAUACAUUUCUACAAAGGUGGUACUCAGCACUAGACACUGUAUUCCACUUGGUGAACAGAGUAGCAGGAUUAUGAUAUUAUAUUUUGCUUAUACAUCUCAGAAUACAAUUUACCUUCUUCAAUAUCAUAACAUUUUGGGGAAAUCUUCAUUUCGAAGCUCUGUUCUGUAGCCAGAUGCUGCUACCCCAGUUCUACUAGGAACUAGUAGUUCUACUAGGAACUAGUUCUACUCUUCCCUUGAAUUUUAGACUAUCAUUUUGAUAAUUUCUCCAAUUUUUCACAAUAUCUUUGAUUCCUAACUCUGUUCUCCAGCACUCCUGAAGUCUCCUUCAGCUGCUCAUCUUUGGCAAGCUUAAUCCUAUAGUUCUCUACUCCAUCAUUCAAAUAAUUUAUUCCAGUAUUGCAGAUCCCUCUCAACAUGCUGACAUCUUCUCUUUGGCUUCCAAACUUGCCCUACAUAUUGGCUUGUGCCUUUAGAGGAGUUUCUUGGAAGACCCACUGUGUCUCUUUAACUCUUUUUUUCUUGAGCUUUACCAUUAUUAGACCUUAUCUAUGGACCCUGAAUAUGCUGAGCCUUGCUCUCAGGAAGCCUCUUCCUUUCCUAACACUGAAUUAAUGCAAUUCUUGCCAUACUUGCUGCCCUUCUGCUUUAUCUUCGUAGCUAGCUCCUCCCACUUUCAUUACAACCAAAACUAGAAGAUCAUCUUCUCUGGAUGAUCUGAUUAGGACCACAAAAGUGAUGAACAGAAUUGAACAGUGAAGAAAGUCCAAGAAAGCUGAAACUAGGCUGGGAGGCUAGAUAUGAGGAGGCUAAGAGGGGAUUUCAUCAGUGUAUAUUAAUAUCUGAAGGCAGAUUCUUUUCAGUGAUGCCUAGUGCCUGAAAAAGAGGCAGUGGGCACAAACUGGAACACAAGGGGUUUCCCUGAAUACCAAAGCUCUUCCGUGCUGUGUGAGUGACAGAGUGCUGGCACAGGCUGACCAGAGGCUGUGGGUUUUCCUCUGUGGAGAUCUCCAGAAGCCACUUGGGCAUGGCCGUGGGUCUUCUGUCUUGCGUGUCCCUGCUUGAGCAGGGGUUGGGCAAGAUGGAUCCAGAGGUACCUGACAACCUCAACCAUGCUGUUAUCCUGUAAUUGCCUAUUGUGGUUGGAACCUACCUCUUUACUUCUUGUAAUGAUAACUGUCUGUUCUUUUCUAUAGCAGCGUUGGUGGGAAUGUCUAGUCAACAAUCCACUCCCCAUAUUUGUACAAACACGUCGGGUAACAAAUAUAAUAAUAAAAAUGUCAUUCUCAUACAGCUGUAAUUGUAUAGGAAUUGCAUUUAUACUGUAGAACUUAUAAUUGCUUCCCCGUUGUUACACUUUUUAAAUGACUGCAUUGAAACAAUAAUGGUUGUUUUAUCUGGCUAUCACGACCUGCCUAAUCAAAGCCUUCUAUCAAGUUUUGAUAACUCCUUUGAAAUUCUUUUAAGGGAUCAAUUUCAACAAGGUGGAGUCUGUUUUCAUCUUCUUUAAUCCUUUGCCAGAAGUGGUGCUUCUACUGUUUUUGUAGCAGAUUAACUUUUAAAGAAGAAGUACUAGGACAAUCAAAUUAAAGAUGUAAAAGGAAUAUUACUCUUAAAAAAAAGAAAAAGAAAAAAAAAAGAAAAAAAAAAUAAGAAAAAAGCAACCUCUACAUAGGCUGGCAUAAAUACAUUGAUGAAAAAUGCUGGACUUUAACAGCAACAUCCCAAAAUUGAAAACUUCUUCAGCCUUAUCUAACUGCAAUCAUUCUCAUCUUCAAUGGCUUCCAAUCACCCAUGUCCAUUAGAUUCAAGCUACACCUUCUCCACCUUCAUUAAAAUGGGUUUUCCAUGCUGGAUUCAUACUGGUGAAGAAGGUGAAGAGCACAGUGAAUAGAAAGCUCAGCUAAGAGUCUACAGAGAUAUAGAAUCAUAGAACCAUAGUAUCACAAGGUUGGAAAAGACCUACAAGAUCUAGUCCAAAUGUCCUCCUAUCACCAUUACUACCCGAGAAGCUACUAAACCAUACCUUGUAGCACUUCAUCCAGAUGCCAGAGAGAGGCAGAAGAGACAUUUCUGGUUUUAUCUCCCUGACUGUUGGCAUUAACCUCGUAGCAUAUGUCUAAUGUGUAGGUCAGGUGAGUAAAUCAGGUCUCCUGACCACUGAAGCCAAUGGAGCUCAACAGUGGACCACUGGAACCAAUUGGAGAUUCUUGGAGUACAGUAUGCUUCCAGCCCAGAAGCCUGGAUUUUCUUCCACUAGAAAUGGAAAAGAGGAGAAAAGUGUGUUUCUGACACAUAACUGUGAUAUGCCUUAGAUGUGCACAUAAGCCAAGGCAUGACUGAGAUGUGCAUCAUCUGAGCCCACAGCUUAGGUCUGGCAAUGAGAGAAUGACAUUACCCUCUCCCUCCUCCUCUGAGGUGUAUCAAACAGGUCUCAAAAACUGGCUUAUCAAAUAGAAGAUAUUUCUUUUUUCCAGCUAAAAGGAAAGCAGCAACCCAACACUACCUUCAUUUGCUAUUAUCCACAUAAUAUAGCUUGAGAUUGAAAGAUUAAAAAACAAAAACAAAACCUCAAUUAGAUCCAUUAAAAAGCUGAGAUAUGAGGAAAGGUCUUCAAAAACUUUGAUUUUGCAUUAACAGAAAGGUUAAUGAAUCUAGCACAGUUUCAGACACUGGAAGGACUAUUUCAGCUGACAGAAACAACUUGAAGGAAAAUCAGAUAAAUGCUACAGGCAGGUGCCAAAAUAUUUUUAAAUGCAACUUGCAAUGGGCUUCCUGAAAGGGAUUAUUUAGUAGAAAAAGAGGCAAGAUUUCAUCCCUGCCUUUUUUACGAUCCUAUUCUAAAGAUUUCCACAACAAUAGUAUAAUCUAGUUCUUCAGGCCUGAGAAAGGCUUUUAAAUCUGCUCUUUCAGAGGUCUUUUAAAUAUUUUGGCAAUUGGAGUCAUCAUUACAGAUUGGAAGUCUGUUGAAAUGAUACAUUAGAGACAUUUGGCUUUACUUUGCAUUCUUACAGAAAGAAACCAUUCUGAAGGAAAAAGAGAAAGAAUAUAAAAAGAACUUUACUGUCCUGCUGAGAGUCACUUUACCUACUUUUCCCCUGACCAGACGUCCUACUGGAAAAGCACUGCAAUGGAUACCAGGACUUCAGUGGCAUCCUUUGAACAGGACUCUGUCCUUUUCUUGUCAAAUCCUACUUGCUUUCCCUUCACUGCUUUCUGAUAAUGUUAUUAUCAAAGGUUCCCUUGUAGUGAACAUAUGGAUGCUGAAAGAUCCACGAGAGGCUUUCUCUUUGUGUUGAAUUCUUUCAUGUGCUGGAGAAAACAAGGAGUUGGUGCUUGGAGAACAUGGAAGCUCCAGCAGACUGAAAAGGAAAUUGAUUGAUCCAUGGGUCAGCUCCUGCGAGCUCCAGGGCUAGCCUAGGGUUGUCUGCAUAGCCCUGUAACCCAUGGUGUGGUACACUUCUAUACCAUAAUGAUUCAUAGGGAAAACGUUAUCUCCUUGAUUUGUUACAGGACACUGUUGCAUAACUUGCCUCUGAAGUACUAACAACAGAUUUGCCUUUGUAGUCUUCCUACACCGUACUCUCUCCUCUCCCAUCAGUAACACCAGACUGCCUUCCCUCUGCUCAGAAGCCUUUGAGGUUUUGGUAGGCCACCAAGUGAGACUCAGCUAGGUACUGUGAGAUGACAUUAAUCUGAAGAGUAACAUCGUGCUGCAAUUUUUAAAGGGCUUCUGUGAUAUACACUAAGAGUUACAGUAUCCUAGGUCCAUGCUAUAGGAGCAUCUUGGCGCGGAAUAACUCUGUCCAGAAGUUGUGUAACAGUUUUCCUUGUAAGACUUUAAUUCCUUUAAAUUGGUGAGUACCAUCAUUAGCUCACGAGUAUCAUGAGAGCAGCAGGAGCUCAAGGUGCCAAGAUUUUAAGUGCUUUGCUCAGGAUCAGAGGAAGGCUAGAAAAAGUCAAGAUUUUACCCUUAGUAUGAUAAGUCUGCUCUACACAUGUGCUUCCAACCUGAUGUAGGAACAAGCCUGCCCCAGACCUGCUGCUUUCGAUGGAUUUUUUUUUCUAUUAACAUGAAUGUGUUAAAUUUCAGGGUGCAUUCCUGCUAUGAAGAGCAAAAGGCAGAAGGUCAGAGAAUGGGGGAAGCAGUAUUUUUGAAUGAAAUACCAUUAAAUGACUGAAUGUUAGUUAGGAAAGAAAAUAAAAUGUGAAGAGAGUCAUGAAGGUAAUAAAAGAAAUGUGAGAUGGUUGAAUCUUGAGAAGGGGAACAAAAGCAAGCUAACGAAGAUACUAAUAUACCUAAGUAAGUUAAAGUAGUUAAUUAGUUAGGAAACAUGCUUAUGGAGUAUGAAUUAUAACGUCAGUGGGGAAAGGAGGCUGUUUUUCUCCAGAUGAGUGUCCAGGGAUUACCAUCUGUCAAAUAAGAAAGAGCCUCAAGGCCGAAUUCAAUCAUUAUUUGUAGGUCUUUGAGAAUAUUUUUGCUUCAAUUCUAUUUUGUUAUACUUCUGAUAUUGGUAUCAUUUUUAUAAAAUAUUCAGAUCCUUGUUUUAUAACUUUUGUAUGGAAAACUCAGACAACUGUAUUCCAGUAUUGCAAUAUUGGACAUUUCCACCUCUUUUCCCCUGAACUCCAGACAGGCAUUUUCAGGCUGUUGCCUGGACUGCUUUCUUUCCUGCCUGUUUUUUCUCCACUGGUUUUUUCUUUAGCAUAAUUGAAGUUUACUUUCCAGGUAAUAAGGAGCAAGAAGGACUAUAUUCAGCAAAAUGUAAGACAUUUCUCCCCGUAGAGAUUAGGAGAUGUUACAGCAGGUUAACACUCCAGCUGGUGGGUAGCUCAUAUUAAGCUGUGGAUCUUUGAAGCCAAAUGAAUGUUGUGAACUUUCCACCCAUAUCACAGUACAGAAACAUCUGGGUGAAAUAGCAUUGAGCUUACUCACAACGAAAACACACAGAGGAAUACAUGCAUACCUUCUUGCUCAUCUCCAUGGCUGAAAGUUGAGCUGAAGUGUGAAAAAGAUUAAGAAAGCCACUGGUUUUGAAAUCUCAGGAGAGCUGUUUUUCACUCCUUCUGCAAGAGAAACUGAACUGCUUGAUGAUAAGAUGUUCCUCUCUUCAUAUUUAGCAUGCUCUAAAAUGCUCUAAAACCAUACACUGAUAGGUAAAUAAAUAGAUAAAUAGUACAGAGAGAAUACACUUUUCAAUAAGUAAAAGUCAUCAUUUGAAUUUUCCUGGGCAAGCACCAUAUCAGAAGGUGCAAAGAACUUUUGGGGCUACUCAGCUGAAAUCCAUAAGUCUCCCAGUUGCUUCCUCCUCCUUCGAUCCCCAGUCUCUGUUCUGAUACUGUUGGUCACAACGUCAUUCAUUUCAAUGGUUUCUAUGAUGUGUCUAUUUUUCCUGUAGAGCCAAGCUGGAGCUUUGUCUACAUCACAAAGUAUUAUAAGCCUUCAUAAGCUUUAUAAUCAGCAGCAUAUUUAAUAUACGUGUAAGAAGUGACGAUUUUUAAAGUGAAGUCUGAAUGCAAAAUAUAGGUGUUAACUAUUUUAGUUAUGAUCAUCUGAUGUAAUUCUAAAACUUUUGGUUGCCUGAUGGUCUGACAGGAUAUUAAAGAUCCUGAAUUACAUUAAUAGAUCAUCAAAUUACUGAAAUGAAAAUAUUUCAAGUCAUAAAGGAUUCAGAGUGGAAAAGCAGGGAGACGUUAUAGGGGGAAAAGGGCUUAGUAUUUUCAAGAAAAGAAAAGAAAACAGAUCAUUUACACAACAAAGAGCACACAUUUGUUUAAAACAAGCUGAUACUGCUGAGACAAUAUUUGGAUGUACUUUCAUGGCGCAGAAUACACGUUUUAUCUUAUGUUAUGAAACCUGGAGUGAUGAAUACAAUGCCAUGCAGAAAAUAUUCACCAUGAGCACAGACACUGUAAAUUCUGGUUUCAGCUUCAGCAAAUCCAUACCUCAUGAUGUAAUAAACUUGUUAAUUUCAUUUAGGUUCCAACUUGUCAUGAUCAGAGCUUAUGUUUUUUUCUGUAUCUGUACCACACCUACCAUGUAGUAUUAGAGGAAGUUGCAGUGAUAUCUAUAAAAAAAAACUUUACUUAAUACUUAUUACAUAUUUAAUAUAAGUUACUAAUAAUUAAUAAUAAUUGUACUUAUGAUAUCAACAAGUUACUGCUGCAAAGCACUUUCCAAGAUACAAACUAUGCUUUUGUCAUGUCUGUUUUCGAAGAUAAGGUUCAAUGUAAUAGCAGCUGAUUAAAAGAUUGCACUGUUUUAAAAUCAA